CUGUUCUUAUGUCUGCAGUAACCCAUGUCAUUAUAAGCUACACACCCGUUUUUGCCCUUUACUGUCAAACAGAAAUACGGUAGGCCUAAUACAGCACAUAGAGUACAGUCCAUACAAGACAGGGCAUUAUCAACACUGUCAUUAAACACAGCCUCCGCUGUCAUUUCAAUGAGACCACUGCAAUGGCACUGCAGGGGGUGCAGACAUGGUGACAACAACGAAACAACAAGGUUGUCCAGUAAAGGUUGAACGUAGGUCAACUUUAGCAGCAAUGCAAUAUCAUCCGGCAACACACAGAGCGGGCCAGUCUAACUCUCUGUAGAGUACAAUGAACAGCAUUAUUUUGCCGUUUACCUCGUAAUAGAUUUGAAAGUGACUGCUGCUGUAAUAACAUUCUCAUAAUAUUCUAAACUGACUGACGUCAGAACAAAAUAGUUACUGACAUGCUGGAUCAUGUCUUCUCACUAAUAUCUAGAGCCGCAAACAGUGCAGGUUGUAGUGGGAACGCAGCCUAAUCGAGGCCAAGAUUUCAUGGUGGUGGGAUUCCAAAUUGAGACCACACUUUCUUGAACCUUGUAUCUUGUGUUGCUCCUUAACUCCCUGGUGUCCCCCACGUUAAAAAAAAACAAAAAAAACAAACACCUGUAGCAAUGCAGAUACUUUGUUUUAUUUGGUGAGAUUGGCUCUGCUAUGGUGUUAUGUUGAAGUUAUGGUAAAUAUGUUGAUGUAGUCGACAGUUGGCGGGUUUCUGCAAUGUUGCGGAAAAUAGAGGCUGGGUUAUACGUUUCUAAUUAUGCUACAGGGGAAAAAUAGCACAAACAGCACAACUAUGAAUUGGCUGAUACAAUUUGGGAUCAUCUAGUAUGGAUUAAGUAUAGCUAGAACUAAGAAAAAUAACCAUUGUAAUGAUUUCUUGAUUUUU